rnacentral:rRNA from 1 species
CGUGAAGCUGGAUUCGCUAGUAAUCGCGCAUCAGCCAUGGCGCGGUGAAUACGUUCCCGGGCCUUGUACACACCGCCCGUCAAGCCAUGGAAGCCGGGGGUGCCUGAAGUGUGCAGCCGCAAGGAGCGCCCUAAGGUAAAACCGGUGACUGGGGCUAAGUCGUAACAAGGUACC